GCCUAUUAUGAACGAUAAUAGAUACAAUACAUUUUCAAAUGCCUGGCAAUCUGUAUAGUGCCUUUGUAGUUUUCGUGAUUUACUUUAAAGCUGAGCAGAUAUUGUUAUUAAUAUUAUUUAGUCAAUGGCUUUAUUGAAAUUUACGGUUAUUACGAUUGUUAUUAUUAUUUUUUUUUUAAAUUAAAGAUUUUAAUUGCAUAAAACCGUAAUAUGUACCUAUAGUAUUAAAAUUACGAGAGGGCCAAAUUGAUUUCAAAUUAAAGUCGAAAAAUUGAGAAAAUUAAGUAUUGAAAAACAUAUUGCACACUGUCGUGUAUAAUACUAUUAAAUGAUU